rnacentral:rRNA from 1 species
GACGAACGCUGGCGGCGUGCCUAAUACAUGCAAGUCGAGCGCAGGAAAUCGACGGAACCCUUCGGGGGGAAGUCGAUGGAAUGAGCGGCGGACGGGUGAGUAACACGUAAAGAACCUGCCCUCAGGUCUGGGAUAACCACGAGAAAUCGGGGCUAAUACCGGAUGGGUCAUCGUACCGCAUGGUCCGAGGAUGAAAGGCGCUUCGGCGUCGCCUGGGGAUGGCUUUGCGGUGCAUUAGCUAGUUGGUGGGGUAAUGGCCCACCAAGGCGAUGAUGCAUAGCCGACCUGAGAGGGUGAUCGGCCACGCUGGGACUGAGACACGGCCCAGACUCCUACGGGAGGCAGCAGUAGGGAAUCUUCCACAAUGGACGAAAGUCUGAUGGAGCAACGCCGCGUGAACGAUGAAGGCCUUCGGGUCGUAAAGUUCUGUUGUAAGGGAAGAACAAGUGCCGCAGGCAAUGGCGGCACCUUGACGGUACCUUGCGAGAAAGCCACGGCUAACUACGUGCCAGCAGCCGCCGUAAAAC